UACGUAGGGUGCGAGCGCUAAUCGGAAUUACUGGGCGUAAAGCGUGCGCAGGCGGUUCGUUGUGUCGGCGGUGAAAGCCCCGGGCUUAACCUGGGAAUGGCCGUUGAAACUGGCGAACUGGAGUGUGGCAGAGGGGGGUGGAAUUCCGCGUGUAGCAGUGAAAUGCGUAGAGAUGCGGAGGAACACCGAUGGCGAAGGCAGCCCCCUGGGCUAACACUGACGCUCAGGCACGAAAGCGUGGGGAGCAAACAGG
rnacentral:rRNA from 1 species